rnacentral:rRNA from 1 species
CUUUUUGUAGAACGGUCCAGCGAGUUAUUGUGUAUGGCGAGGUUAAGUAUUACGUAAGGUACGGAGCCGAAGCGAAAGCGAGUCUGAAAAGGGCGAUAUAAGUCAUGCAUAAUAGACCCGAAACUGAGUGACCUAUCCAUGAGCAGGAUGAAGCUAGAGUAAAAUCUAGUGGAGGUCCGAACUGAUUGUCGUUAAAAAGGCACCGGAUGACUUGUGGAUAGCGGAGAAAUUCCAAUCGAACUCAGAGAUAGCUGGUUCUCCUCGAAAUAGCUUUAGGGCUAGCCUUGAGGGAAUGCAUAUGGGGGUAGAGCACUGAAUGAGGUAGGGGCCUAACCAGGUUACCAAACUCUAUCAAACUCCGAAUACCAUAUGUAAAUACUCAGGAGUCAGACUGCGGGAGCUAAGUUCCGUGGUCAAAAGGAAAACAGUCCAGAUCGUCAAUUAAGGUCCCAAAGAUAUAGCUAAGUGGAAAACGAUGUGAUUUUGCAUAAACAACCAGGAUGUUGGCUCAGAAGCAGCCAUUCAUUCAAAGAGUGCGUAAUAGCUCACUGGUCGAGUGAAGUUGCGCGGAAAAUUACCGGGGCUAAGCUAUACACCGAAAUUGCGGAUUUACAUUUGAAAGACAAUGUAAGUGGUAGAGGAGCAUUCUGUAGUAGGAAGAAGCAUGACCGUAAGGACAUGUGGACGAAGCAGAAGAGAGAAUGCCGGAAUAAGUAGCGAAAGCAUGGUGAGAAUCCAUGCCAUCGAAAGUCUAAGGUUUCCUGGGGAAGGUUCGUCCGCCCAGGGUAAGUCGGGACCUAAGGAGAGGCCGAAAAGCGUAUCCGAUGGACAGCAGGUAGAAAUUCCUGCACUACGUAAUACUUAAAAGACAUAAAUGACACAGGAGUGGAAGAUAAGCGAGGAAGAGGAAAGACUCGUAUCGAAAGAUAUAGUGAAAAUUAAAGUAACGAAUUAUCAAGAAGCUAAUGGCGAGAAAAGUUUAUGGAUAUUGUAUUAAGUACCCGUACCGCAAACCGACACAGGUAGAUGAGGAGAAGAUCCUAAGAUGAGCGAGAGAAGCAUUGUUAAGGAACUCGGCAAAUUGACCCCGUAACUUCGGAAUAAGGGGUGCUGGAGUAAAAUCCAGUCGCAGAGAAUAGUCCCAAGCAACUGUUUAACAAAAACACAGGUUUCUGCUAAAUCGAAAGAUGAAGUAUAGGAGCUGACGCCUGCCCAGUGCUGGAAGGUUAAGGGAAAGAGUUAGGGUUAAACCGAAGCUUAGAACUGAAGCCCCAGUGAACGGCGGCCGUAACUAUAACGGUCCUAAGGUAGCGAAAUUCCUUGUCAGGUAAGUUCUGACCCGCACGAAAGGUGUAAUGAUUUGGGAGCUGUCUCGACAAUGUACUCGGCGAAAUUGUAGUACUAGUGAAGAUGCUAGUUACCUGCGACAAGACAGAAAGACCCCAUGGAGCUUUACUGCAGCUUGAUACUGGGUUUCGGUAAUUUAUGUACAGGAUAGGUGGGAUGCUAAGAAGUAUGUGCGCCAGCGCAUAUGGAGCAGACGUUGGGAUACCACCCUUAAAUUACUGGAAUUCUAACUAUAAGUCCUAAGCGGGCUUGAGGACAAUGUCAGGCGGGCAGUUUGACUGGGGCGGUCGCCUCCUAAAGAGUAACGGAGGCGCCCAAAGGUUUCCUCAGCGCGGACAGAAAUCGCGCGAAAGAGUGCAAAGGCAGAAGGAAGCUUAACUGAGAGACAGACAUGUCGACCAGAUACGAAAGUAGGUCUUAGUGAUCCGGUGGUUGUAAGUGGAAAUGCCAUCGCUCAACGGACAAAAGUUACCCUGGGGAUAACAGGCUUAUCUCCCCCAAGAGUUCACAUCGACGGGGAGGUUUGGCACCUCGAUGUCGGCUCAUCGCAUCCUGGGGCUGAAGUAGGUCCCAAGGGUUGGGCUGUUCGCCCAUUAAAGCGGUACGCGAGCUGGGUUCAGAACGUCGUGAGACAGUUCGGUCCCUAUCCGUUGUGGGCGCAGGAAAUUUGAGAGGAGCUGUCCUUAGUACGAGAGGACCGGGAUGGACGUACCUCUGGUGUACCGGUUGCAGACCAACUGCACAGCCGGGUAGCUAUGUAUGGAACGGAUAAACGCUGAAGGCAUCUAAGCGUGAAGCCGCCCUCAAGAUAAGAUUUCCCAUUCU